rnacentral:rRNA from 1 species
UGGGUAACCUGCCUGUAAGACUGGGAUAACUCCCGGAAACCGGGGCUAAUACCGGAUGCUUGAUUGAACCCCAUGGUUCAAUCAUAAAAGGUGGCUUUUAGCUACCCCUUGCAGAUGGACCCCCGGCGCAUUAACUAGUUGGGGAGGUAACGGCUCCCCCAGGCGACCAUGCCUAGCCCACCUGAAAGGGUGAUCCGCCCCCCUGGGACUGAAACACGGCCCAAACUCCUACGGGAGGCAGCAGUGGUCAUAACUGUUUCCU